CCGAUGAUAGCUCAGCUGGUAGAGCGCAUGACUGUAAUAGCAUCAGAUAUCAUGCGGUCCCCGGUUCGAACCCGGGUCGUCGGA